UACAGAGGUCUCAAGCGUUGUUCGGAUUCAUUGGGCGUAAAGGGCGCGUAGGUGGCCAACUAAGUCAGACGUGAAAUCCCUCGGCUUAACCGGGGAACUGCGUCUGAUACUGGAUGGCUUGAGUUCGGGAGAGGGAUGCGGAAUUCCAGGUGUAGCGGUGAAAUGCGUAGAUAUCUGGAGGAACACCGGUGGCGAAGGCGGCAUCCUGGGCCGACACUGACGCUGAAACGCGAAAGCCAGGGGAGCAAACGGG
rnacentral:rRNA from 1 species